CUUCCUGUCUAACGGCAACAGACCACGGCUAAGCUUCUUUUGUACCUGCCACUCUGUUUUAAGCCAGCACAGUCUUUUUACCACAUUCACUCGUUCAUCAAAAAUCCAUGCCAUGCAUCCAGCAAAUAAAUAGGCGACAAAAGGAAGAA